rnacentral:rRNA from 1 species
UACAGAGGGCUCAAGCGUUGUUCGGAUUCAUUGGGCGUAAAGGGUGCGUAGGCGGCGUGGUAAGUCGGAUGUGAAAUCUCGGAGCUUAACUCCGAAACUGCAUUCGAUACUGCCGUGCUUGAGGACUGGAGAGGAGACUGGAAUUUACGGUGUAGCGGUGAAAUGCGUAGAUAUCGUAAGGAAGACCAGUGGCGAAGGCGGGUCUCUGGACAGUUCCUGACGCUGAGGCACGAAGGCCAGGGGAGCAAACGGG